UUAAGAAGAUUUCGACAAAUAUUAACAGCAGUAAGGCAAGUAGCGACUCUCAACAACCAUCUCCAAAUAAUGAAAAUCCAGAGACGGAUACAGAACCGGCCCUCUCACAGCAUGUUUCAAAGGGUGCUGAAGUAUCAUCGUUUUCCAUCAUCCCCUCCAAGAUGAAAAAUCCCUUCGCGAAAAGGUCUGAAGGCAGUAAGGCAAGUAGCGACUCUCAACAACCAUCUCCAAAUAAUGAAAAUCCAGAGACGGAUACAGAACCGGCCCUCUCACAGGUGAGAAUACUAAUGAAUGGUAAUUAAUCAUCAGUUCGUGAUGAU